rnacentral:misc_RNA from 1 species
GAAGUGGCUUUGUUGUAAAGAACUGUAAAACACAUACCAAAGAAGUCAAGGACUAUCAACAAUGAACUAACAAAACAAAAUAUAAAUAAAUGCCAACCUCAGCCACCCAUAUAUGUCUAUGUGCGCGCAUAUAUAUGUGCGUAAAGGAUUUAAUACUAACUGUUUAUAACCAAUAUGAAAGUCCAAAAGUGCACAUUGGCCACAAUUUUUAAAAUGGAACAAUAGAUAAUAAAAACUCCCUAAAGGGAUCUCCAAACUCCAAUCUAGAAAACUCCCUAAAUAAAACAUAAAAUUUAAGAUCAGCAGUCUUCGUAAACUAUCAUCAAGACUGGGGCUAAGUCUACAUAAAC